CAGCCGUAAACAAUGUGCGUUAGGUGUGUCGGUAACCACGCGUUACUGAUGCGCCGAAGAGAAAUCGUGAAACGCACCACCUGGGAAGUACGGUCGCAAGGCUGAAACUUAAAGGAAUUGGCGGGGGAGCACCACAACAGGUGGAGCCUGCGGUUUAAUUGGACUCAACGCCGGGAAGCUCACCGGAUAGGACAGCAGAAUGAUUGCCGGGCUGAAGACCCUGCAUGACUAGCUGAGAGGUGGUGCAUGGCGUCAGUGACU
rnacentral:rRNA from 1 species